rnacentral:rRNA from 1 species
GAUGAACGCUGGCGGCGUGCCUAAUACAUGCAAGUCGAGCGAACAGAUGAGGAGCUUGCUCCUCUGACGUUAGCGGCGGACGGGUGAGUAACACGUGGAUAACCUACCUAUAAGACUGGGAUAACUUCGGGAAACCGGAGCUAAUACCGGAUAAUAUAUUGAACCGCAUGGUUCAAUAGUGAAAGACGGUUUUGCUGUCACUUAUAGAUGGAUCCGCGCCGCAUUAGCUAGUUGGUAAGGUAACGGCUUACCAAGGCAACGAUGCGUAGCCGACCUGAGAGGUUGAUCGGCCACACUGGAACUGAGACACGGUCCAGACUCCUACGGGAGGCAGCAGUAGGGAAUCUUCCGCAAUGGGCGAAAGCCUGACGGAGCAACGCCGCGGGAGUGAUGAAGGUCUUCGGAUCGUAAAACUCUGUUAUUAGGGAAGAACAAAUGUGUAAGUAACUAUGCACGUCUUGACGGUACCUAAGCAGAAAGCCACGGCUAACUACGU